rnacentral:rRNA from 1 species
CAGCCGCCGCGGGAAUACGUAGGGCGCAAGCGUUGUCCGGAAUUAUUGGGCGUAAAGAGCUCGUAGGCGGUCUGUCGCGUCUGGUGUGAAAUCCCGAGGCUCAACCUCGGGCUUGCAUCGGGUACGGGCAGACUAGAGUGCGGUAGGGGAGACUGGAAUUCCUGGUGUAGCGGUGGAAUGCGCAGAUAUCAGGAGGAACACCGAUGGCGAAGGCAGGUCUCUGGGCCGCAACUGACGCUGAGGAGCGAAAGCAUGGGGAGCGAACAGGAUUAGAUACCCGUGUAGUCCCUGUCUCUUAUAC